AUUCAGAAGUCAUCUCACCGAAGUGUUUUGUACGAGAAACUUUUCAAUUUCAGAAUGACUCAGUUUUGGGUUCUUUUAUUCUUCUGUGGGUUCCAUUUCUUUCCUGUUGACGCUAAGAUGUGUUCAAACGUCCGUUUUUCUCGUCAACUKGGUAAGAGGAUGCGAUGCUCCAUUUACAAAACAUUGUCAGCUGUCAACGUGCUUGACUGUCAUACAUCAUGCGUAUCAGAAUUGAGCUGUUUCUCCAUCAACUUUUACCUAAAUGAGAAUGAAACAAGCGUCUGUGAGCUGAUUAAAUGAACGACCAGUUCUUUGGGAAAUCCAGAUUGUCUUGUCUGGAAACAAGGAAGUGAAUACAACGAGUUAUYGAAUACAGGUUCUUGUUCAGCUGCGUCGUGCGAAGCAGGAAAAACCAGAAAAGCGUUGCCUGGCAACUGGUACCAGUUGGGUUCAUCUGCGUUCAAGCUUUUUGAGUUAAAGAAAAACUAUACAGAAGCCAGUGCAGUAUGUUCAGCUAACGGAGGAAGUCUGGCCACCAUCAACAGCGACGAUGAAAACAAAUUUGUURCCGAGUUGUACCUCAGGGAGCAGGAGUCUAAAAGAGAKUUUCUCAUCAAAGACACAAUGAAACCAUACAAGCACUGGAAACUAGAUGGAUCUGACMCGGA